UAACCGGAAAAGGCUUCGUCGUUGACUGUAAACAAGCCAGUGGGCUUGACGUGUGAUUUUAAACGUGUUGGCGUACUAGGUAUCUGAAGUUCCGAUGGUGGUCUAAUUUUUUAACGUAUAAACAUGCGUCUUGUCAUGUCUUUGUGGUCGAGCAGUAGUCAGGCAACUGUCGAACCCCACAAGCCAACCGACCAAAUAAGGUCCGUUAACGGUUAACAUCGUUAGUAGCAGCCGGUAACGUUGGUGUUUUACCUCAUUUGGUAUUUACCAUUAUGGUAAGCCAUGAUAAAAUGUUUGUCAGCAGAUGUCCAGAGCAAAAUUCGCUCUGGAAUCGCCAUAUCUUCGCUUCAGCAAGGCGUUGAAGAGCUGCUCCUGAACAGCGUGGACGCGGGGGCGACAUGCGUCGGGGUGCGGAUGGACAUGAAGGCGUUCAAGGUUCAGGUGGUGGACAACGGGUCAGGGAUGGACCUGGAUGAUCUGCAGAGGGUUGGAAACAGGUACUGUACUAGUAAAUGCAGUUCCAUGGAGGACUUGGAGAAUCUGAGGUUUUAUGGGUUUCGUGGGGAGGCCCUUGCAAGUAUAGUUUCCCUAGCGACCCUGGUAGAGAUAUCUUCAAGAACAAGACUAUCCGUUAAAACACACAUUAAGGUCUUCAAGGAUGGGAAGGGGUUGGAUGUCUUGGAAGCGGAGUCUUCCCGUCCCUCCGCCGGGACCACAUUGACCAUUUGCAACUUUUUCCACAACAUGCCAGUCAGGAGGAACCGAAUGGACCCCGUCCUUGAAGCGGAGCGCAUCAGGCACCGGGUGGAGGCCAUCUCUCUGAUGCACCCGUCUGUGUCUUUUACUUUGAAAAACGAUGUGACAGGAGCCAUGCUGGCCCAGCUCUCAAAAGCCAGAAGUACAUACCAUCGAUUUGUCCAGAUCUAUGGCUUAGGGCGAGGACAGCAUCUGCGAGAAAUCAGUCACAGCCAGGCACAAUUUAAAAUCAGCGGUCACAUAGGUAUAGAGGGUCACUACAACAAAAGCUUACAGUUCUUGUAUGUGAAUGAAAGGCUACUUCUGAAAACACGCCUUCACCAGUUGCUCAAUUUCCUCCUCCGGAAGCUUAACAGUUCAGGUCAGAAGAAUGAUAGCCCAGACGGCCAGUCGAUAAUCAGGAGCCCAAAGCAGAGAAGGGGCCAAGAACUACAUCCAAUAUAUAUCAUAAAUAUUAAAUGCUGCUACUCAGAAUAUGACAUUUGUCUUGACCCAGCCAAAACUCUCAUAGAGUUUAAAGACUGGGAUGGGAUUUUGAUCUGUUUAGAACAGGCUGUUAAAGCCUUUCUAAGCAGAGAGAAUCUGUUGGCUGACCCCUCGCAAGAAGAGUUAGACUGCGCUCCUCAAAGCCUGCUGUGUACAUCUGAGAAACCAGUGAACUUGGGUUUCCACGGUACCCAAUUAAUAACAGCAGAGGCCUCGCUCAGCCACACUGUCUGCGGUACGCUUUCAUCCGGGCCGGUUCAUCGUAAAGUUGUUGUUGUCGACGGUGCGCUUGAAGAAAGUGUGGCACAGACAUGUGUUCAAGACGACAUCUCCAGUAAGGCAGCCACGGUGGAACCACUCGAGGAAGACGCUGGUCCGCCGGAAAUGGAGACGAUACGAAACGAAAGGCCCGCAAGCGUAGAAUCCAGGGGUGGAGCUGGGGCUCAUUGGAGUGGAUGCGUGAGUGGAGUGGAUCAGGUGGACGGCGGUCCAACUGAAGACCAUGGGGAGGGAGGGGUUUGGCACGCUGCCAAAGGUGGCAGUUUUACAGCGUCGCUAGACAAUGGACAAGAAACAUCUGCGCAUCGAAUUGUAGCUCAACAGAGCUCAAAUACACAUGGAGAAUCCGUGGAAGGGUUCAGAAAGAUCAGUCUAGCAGAUGCAUACAUUCAUGAAAGUCUGCCAGCUAAGAGCCACGAUGAUAGGCCAACGUUUUGCACAACAAAAACAUGUAAACAGAGCAUAGGCUUGAUGAAACGCAAAGUGUCGGAAGUUGACUACAUCCAGUCUAGUCAUAAAGUAUACUUGGACGAUGGUCAUAACAUUGCUUCAAAGGUUCCCAAGCUUACAUGUUUUAGGAAGUUAUUGUCCAAGGAAUCUGCAUCUCUGGACAGGUUUCGAAGCACAUACUGCAAGCCAAUGGGGGAGAAAAUGCUUUCUAUUGCAGCCUUCAGUAGCAGCAAGCAACCACAUUCCCUAUUGCCUCAGACUGGGGACAUCUUUGUCCCUGGCAAUGAAUUCCCCAUUGCUGAAAAGGAGACUCAAAAUACAGACAUCCCGGACCCUGUAAUAAUUCAGAGCGAUGUUCAAAGCCUACCUACCUUCUCUAUAUUCACCAAGCGGAAGCCUAUCUUAGACAAGACUGGAGGUGGUGGAGUUUCUCUGGCAUCAAAACUUAGUCAUCUGAAACAACAGCGAGUGGUUGACCUGCAUCAACAAAGCCCUCUUCAGUCUGAAAUGAUAGAUACUAAGGUAGACGACAACGUCCAAGACAGCAACAACAACAACUGUUCUCCCAACCGGACCUGUGGUGGACCUACAGCACAGAGCCCAGUGUCUGCCCUACAAGGCAGUUCAAGGCCUGAACUAACGACCGGGCCGGAGGGCUCAACGUCCGUAGACUGGCUGGAUCACUUUGACGACACACUGGGCCGGACGGUGUCCGUCAACCAGGUGACCGGACUGAGCCGCUACGAGGUCCCAGCCACGGGGGACACCCAGGUCUGCUGCACUUCGGAUGUCACACGCAUGGCAGUGAACGUUGUCACUGAGACAGGGUUUGAAUAUAGAUGCUACCCAUUUCAGAUGGAGCAAAUCUUGCCCUUCCUUCCCAGAGACAAAAGAGUAGUCAGUUCAGGGGCUGAAAACAGAGGGGGGGAUAAGCUGGAGAACUCUCUUUCCUCCAUGUACUCUAAAUGGAAGAACCCUGUGUUUGACAGGCCUCCUGUGGUCGGUGUAGACGUAUGCAGUGACCAAGCUGACGGUCUUGCUGUCAAGAUCCACAACAUCCUGUUUCCAUACCGCUGCUCUAAAGCCAUGAUUACCUCGAUGAAGGUGAUUCAUCAGGUAGAUAAGAAGUUCCUUGCGUGUCUGAUUAACACUCGGGACACAGAGUAUGCCCAAGACCCGGGAACUGAAGGAAAUCUCUUGGUACUGGUGGACCAGCACGCUGCACAUGAACGAGUCCGCCUGGAAAAGCUUAUUGCAGACUCCUACGAGGACGACCCCGACACGCCCGGCCAGCGGCGCCUGUGUUCCUCCAGCGUCGCGCCGCCGCUGGAGCUGAGCGUGACGGAGGAGGAGCUGAGGCUGCUCAGGGGCUGCCAGGCUCCUCUCCGCGGCCUGGGCCUGCAGCUGGAGCUGCCCACAACGGGGGCCCCCCGGGUCCUGGUGGGCAGGGUGCCGUUGUGUUUCACCGAGAAGGAGCACAACGAGGUGCGGCGGGGCCGGCCGUCCGUCAUCAAGGCCGUCGUGGAGGAAUACCUCAGAGAUCAGCUCGAGAUAUUCUGCUCCACAGGCAGCGUGCGAGGAACUCUGCCUCUCGCGGUGCUGAGGGUCCUGGCUUCCCUGGCAUGUCACGGAGCCAUCAAAUUCAACGACGUCCUGAGUCUGGACGAGUGCCACAGCCUGGUGGGCUCCCUGUCGUCCUGCCAGCUGCCCUUCCAGUGCGCCCACGGCCGUCCCUCCAUCGCGCCGCUGGCAGACACCCUGUUUCUGGAAGGCGACGAGAAGGAAACACAGAGACCCAACCUAGGACGACUCAGAAGAAUGUACAAGGCUUGGGAGCUUUAUGGACGUAGAAAACUGUGAUUUGUGUAUUUUAGUAUUGCAGUACAAACCUGGAUCAAUUCUAGGCUAUUUAUUUGAUUAAAUUAGAUGAAUUAUAUUGAUUUUGCUCUCUAUCAGACUUAUUUGGAAGCCUAACUGACAAUGUUUUAAAAGAAUAACAUAUUUCAUAUCAGAGGAGAUUAUUGUGAAAGUCAUCACAACAGGAUCUGUUGUCCAAGGUAAAGACCUCAAGUUAUCCAUGAAAAACGAGGCCUCGACUUUGAAUUAUUUUGCAGCAUCCUUCGUGCUGGCAUCAGGUUAAUAUGUAAUGCAAAUAUAUGAUGUCACGCAAAUCAUGUUCCUAAAGCA